GAUGAACGCUGGCGGCGUGCCUAAUACAUGCAAGUCGAGCGAACAGACGAGGAGCUUGCUCCUUUGACGUUAGCGGCGGACGGGUGAGUAACACGUAGGUAACCUACCUAUAAGACUGGGAUAACUUCGGGAAACCGGAGCUAAUACCGGAUAAUAUUUCGAACCGCAUGGUUCGAUAGUGAAAGAUGGCUUUGCUAUCACUUAUAGAUGGACCUGCGCCGUAUUAGCUAGUUGGUAAGGUAACGGCUUACCAAGGCAACGAUACGUAGCCGACCUGAGAGGAGGGUGAGCGACACUGGAACGGAGACACGGACCAGACUCCGACGGGAGGCAGGAGUGGGGAAUGUUGGACAAUUGGCGAAAGCCUGAGACAGCCAUAACGCGUGGGUGAAGAAGGUCUUAGGGUGGUAAAGCACUGUUGUUGGGAAAGAAAAGCAGCAGGUGAAUACCACGCGGUUCUGACGGUACCCAAAGAAUAAGCACCGGCUAACCUCGUG
rnacentral:rRNA from 1 species